rnacentral:tRNA from 1 species
UAGAGAGAUNNGAAUUGAACCUACAAUUAAGAGAUCAAAACUCUCCGUAA